rnacentral:rRNA from 1 species
GGAGUUAGCCGGUGCUUCUUCUGUGAGUGAUGUCAUUCCUGCCGGCUAUUAACCCGCAGGCCUUCUUCCUCACUGAAAGUGCUUUACAACCCGAAGGCCUUCUUCACACACGCGGCAUGGCUGGAUCAGGGUUGCCCCCAUUGUCCAAUAUUCCCCACUGCUGCCUCCCGUAGGAGUCUGGGCCGUGUCUCAGUCCCAGUGUGGCUGAUCAUCCUCUCAGACCAGCUACGGAUCGUCGCCUUGGUGAGCCGUUACCUCACCAACCAGCUAAUCCGACAUAGGCUCAUCCGAUAGCGCGAGGCCCGAAGGUCCCCCGCUUUCCCCCGUAGGGCGUAUGCGGUAUUAGCCUGGGUUUCCCCCAGGUUAUCCCCCACUACCGGGCAGAUUCCUAUGCAUUACUCACCCGUCCGCCGCUCGCCACCAGGGAGCAAGCUCCCCGUGCUGCCGCUCGACUUGCAUGUGUUAGGCCUGCCGCCAGCGUUCAAUCUGAGCCAAAUCAAACUCUGA